UAAACACAUGUACCUUCUGAGGCCUUUUCCUUUUCCAGGGGAAAUCACUGUAUUAACUAUUUUGUCACAGUUAGUGGCAGAGAUGCUACAGGAUCAUCAUGUGGAACAGCUGCUGGUAGGGAAAAAGAGGGAUCAACAAGUGACUAGCUGGAGGGACAAGGCCUUUAUUUAAAUGCCCUUGAGGUGAGUCUGGCAGGGAUGCACUCAUGCUAGUCACAGACUCUGCCCAGACUAGAAUCAUGGGUCAUUUCACAAACCCUGGUGACCUGCGAGCUCUGCUGGUAUUUAUCAUCCCAGCAAACAGUAUACUUGCCAGCCCAAUGAAUUAAGUAGCUCUGGGGUGGAGUUGCAACACAGUAGGCUCAUUAACUUAUUGUGAAAUCAGCAGAAUUUUGGAAUAGCACAGAAGAUCAGCAGAGGAUACACAGGACCAACAUCCCCUUUGUCCCUGCAGGCAGGAUUACCAGAGAAGACAUGAAGAGGUAGUAAGCAUGGACUAAGCUGGCAGCCUUCUGAGGGAGAAACAGCAAAAGGCUGAGUUAGAGAAGGAAAAGGAGAGCUUAAAUAUUAAAAAUGUUCCACAGCCCUGUGAUUUCAGAGCUCACUGCAGCUAUCAGCCCUGCUUUGAUUAUCAUACACCAGGCACAUUCUUGGAGCUGGUUCUCUCAGACCAGACCCUUUAGUUUGUGGAAAGAGAGUUCAAAUAUUGGCAAAUCAUCAUGCACAGAAAAGAUUGAACUUUCCAUACACUCUUUGAAAAGGAGUGAUGCAGCAACUGCAUGUACAGAGAAAAGGGUAGGCGUAGGCAUCCCUGGAUACUGUAUCAGAACAAAUGGUCAGAAUUCAGGUAUCUUUACUGAAUGUCCUCAAGCCAGACUUGCUUUUCCAGGCUUUUUAAGAAGAUUGGAUGGAAUCUGGAAGAGUGAUAAUACAGCAUAAACCAAAAAGUGAAAGACAUAGGCAUGGAUGAAAUUAUACAUAGUUUUAAAAGUAGAUGUUUCCUAACAGAUGUAUAAAAAAAUACAACCAAUUUCUAUAUUGUUGCCAAGCUAAGAUUCAUGCUUCCUAAGAUACUGAUCUUGGAUACUUUACUGCUAAUUUCUUUGGGUGAUUAAACUACUACCAGAAUUUAGCAUCAAGUACUAAAACAGUUUAAUAUCCCCUGAAAUCCUCCAAAGAAACUGAGAAUAAGGUAUUGAAAGACAGACUUUUUUUUUUUAUUUUAAUAAGAGACAAGCCAAAAGAACACUGGCCAUUUAUAUUGCUAUUUAUUUGUAUUGGGGUGAUUGAGAAAAUUCAAACUAUUUAUCCUACAUGCAAGUGACACACAGCCUUCUACUUCCACAGAUCCAAGACCAGCUGUAGACAAUGUGUAAACUCCACCUUACCUGUCUCCUGUCUUUUUCCAGUUCCCCCACACUCUCACAAGCUUUCUGAUUAAAAAUUACUUUGGCUGCUUUUGGUCUUGUUGGUGUGUACUCUGUUUGACAUUAGUCCCCCGGGAAACUAAAAUACCUAUCAUGUGAAGAAAUAAAAAACUUUAUCUAUGAUAGAGAAAGUCCA
rnacentral:lncRNA from 1 species